CAUGGCGGCCGCGGGUGAUGGCGGCUUCUCCCCUGCUGAGAGGGAUGGGCACCAGCCACCAUCUUAAAAAGGGAACAGGUUGCAGGUUUCAACAACAUUGGAAUCCACAUUAUUUUCACAAGAGGGAUUCAGUUUGUGCCACACACAACAGAGGAUGAGCUGCUUCCAGUUGUGUGUCCUGACUGUCCAACGUGCCAUCACUGGUGGAAAAUGUGCUGUACAUCUGCCACUCCAGGUACUCCUCCUAUGGAUUACACAUCAGGUGGAAGGUCCAGGCCGCAUCCCUCCCAGCUUCCCUCCCAGCGCCUCAGUAGCUGAGCUGCACUCUUUCCAUCAUGUGGCAUAUGGAGGAGGGGACCUAGAUACAGCUCCCAUUCAUCACAGGAGCUGUCUCCAGCCAUGAAAACUAAAACUUGUAGAUGAUACCUACAGAUGCAGCAAGUUGCUUCCUGAAUGAGUCUGAAUGACAUUUUUCCAGUUCUCAGAAUUUGCCAAUGCAAACUUGGCUGUUUUCUACAGGAACAAAAAGAAGUUUAGAAGUAAAAGUAUAAACAUUUUCAGCAUCAUAAGAUAUACAAGGGCUGCUCUAGAAGUAAUGCCUCCUAUUUUAUUAUGUUGGCCUACAA